rnacentral:rRNA from 1 species
AAUCCUGACACAGGGAGGUAGUGACAAGAAAUAACAAUACAGGGCUACUUCUAGUCUUGUAAUUGGAAUGAGUACAACUUACAUCUCUUCACGAGGAUCAAUUGGAGGGCAAGUCUGGUGCCAGCAGCCGCGGUAAUUCCAGCUCCAAUAGCGUAUAUUAAAGUUGUUGCAGUUAAAAAGCUCGUAGUCGGAUUUCGGGGCGGGCCGAGCGGUCUGCCGAUGGGUAUGCACUGUUCGGCGCGUCCUUCUUUCCGGAGACUAGUUCUACUCUUAACUGAGCGGGACUGGGAGACGGAUCGUUUACUUUGAAAAAAUCAGAGUGUUUCAAGCAGGCAGCUCGCUCUUGCAUGGAUUAGCAUGGGAUAAUGAAAUAGGACUCUGGUGCUAUUUUGUUGGUUUCGAACACCGGAGUAAUGAUUAACAGGGACAGUCAG